AAAAAAUUUAGGCGACUUGAAUUCUUUAUAAGGACAUUGCUGCCCUGCAGAAAUGUUGAAUACUAGGAGAAGGUACAUGCUACAUUCAGGUCUGAACUUUCCCAUUUUUGCUGUUGUAAAGGUUGGAAAUUUAACAAUUCCCACGUUUUGCCUCAUGGCAUACGAACAUUCAGGCUUGCUGCUGGCACACCACUAGCUUAACACUAGCAGCACAGCUUACCUACAAAUGAAGGUUCCCUUUCCUCACUUCCACACUACUUUAGCUGAAGUUCUGAAACACUGCCUUGCUCCAAAGAACAGAAAAGCCUUUUUCUUUUUCUUUUUUUCAUU
rnacentral:misc_RNA from 1 species